AGAGUUUGAUCAUGGCUCAGGACGAACGCUGGCGGCGUGCUUAACACAUGCAAGUCGAACGAUGAAGCCCUUCGGGGUGGAUUAGUGGCGAACGGGUGAGUAACACGUGGGUAAUCUGCCCUGCACUCUGGGAUAAGCCCGGGAAACUGGGUCUAAUACCGGAUAUGACCUGCCAUCGCAUGGUGGUGGGUGGAAAGUUCCGGCGGUGCAGGAUGAACCCGCGGCCUAUCAGCUUGUUGGUGGGGUGAUGGCCUACCAAGGCGACGACGGGUAGCCGGCCUGAGAGGGCGACCGGCCACACUGGGACUGAGACACGGCCCAGACUCCUACGGGAGGCAGCAGUGGGGAAUAUUGCACAAUGGGCGAAAGCCUGAUGCAGCGACGCCGCGUGAGGGAUGACGGCCUUCGGGUUGUAAACCUCUUUCGCACGGGACGAAGCGAGAGUGACGGUACCGUGAGAAGAAGCACCGGCUAACUACGUGCCAGCAACCGCGGUAAUACGUAGGGUGCAAGCGUUGUCCGGAAUUAUUGGGCGUAAAGAGCUCGUAGGCGGUUUGUCACGUCUAUCGUGAAAACUGGAGGCUUAACUUCCAGCGUGCGGUGGAUACGGGCAGACUUGAGUUCGGUAGGGGAGACUGGAAUUCCUGGUGUAGCGGUGAAAUGCGCAGAUAUCAGGAGGAACACCGGUGGCGAAGGCGGGUCUCUGGGCCGAUACUGACGCUGAGGAGCGAAAGCGUGGGGAGCGAACAGGAUUAGAUACCCUAGUAGUCC
rnacentral:rRNA from 1 species